UGGGGAAUCUUGCGCAAUGGGCGAAAGCCUGACGCAGCGACGCCGCGUGGGUGAUGAAGGCCUUCGGGUCGUAAAGCCCUUUCGACCGGGAAGAACGACCCCGCGGUGAACAGCCGUGGGGAGUGACGGUACCGGAAGAAGAAGCACCGGCUAACUACGUGCCAGCAGCCGCGGUAAUACGUAGGGCGCGAGCGUUGUCCGGAAUUAUUGGGCGUAAAGAGCUCGUAGGCGGCUUGUCACGUCGGAUGUGAAAGCCCGGGGCUUAACCCCGGGUCUGCAUUCGAUACGGGCUAGCUAGAGUGUGGUAGGGGAGAUCGGAAUUCCUGGUGUAGCGGUGAAAUGCGCAGAUAUCAGGAGGAACACCGGUGGCGAAGGCGGAUCUCUGGGCCAUUACUGACGCUGAGGAGCGAAAGCGUGGGGAGCGAACAGGAUUAGAUACC
rnacentral:rRNA from 1 species